rnacentral:rRNA from 1 species
CAGCCGUAAACUAUGCGCGUUAGGUGUACUGGUGACUACGAGUCACCGGGGUGCCGAAGGGAAACCGUGAAACGUGCCGCCUGGGAAGUACGGUCGCAAGGCUGAAACUUAAAGGAAUUGGCGGGGGAGCACCACAACGGGUGGAGCCCGCGGUUUAAUUGGACUCAACGCCGGAAAUCUCACCGGAUAGGACAGACAUAUGAUAGUCGGGCUGAAGACUCUACUUGAUGAUCUGAGAGGAGGUGCAUGGCGUCAGUGACU